rnacentral:siRNA from 1 species
UACAGCGCAUCGAUCCUAUAAGCC